AUAGUCCAGUUCAAAAGCAGGUCUGAUUUCCUGAAGCAAGCACAAGCCCUUCCUUCUGAGAUCCAGUGUCAAGAGUGAGCGGGAUGAGGAUGGGACCCCGAGCACAGCUAGCCAAGCCCAUUCUAACCUAAUGGAAAUCUGAUAUACGGUCCAGACAUUCCUAAGUGACAAAUUUCUAUACUCAAACUGCUUGCUGACAUCCAUAUAGCAUGAAGUGAUUUGGUUUUCCUGAUUCUGCAGUCAGUGCGUGGCCUCAGCUCCAUCUCACCGUGCCCCUUCCCGAGCAGGAAGCCUGCCAGAUGGCUGCAGGACCUGAUCUCACCUCCAGGCUGCUUCACAGAACCGACACUGUCUUACAAGGUUUUAUCCAAGCUUGAAAGCUUCUUAUUUCUUCCAUCAGUCUCAUAAACAUUUUCAUCCCUGAUUAGAAUUCUAUUUCCCAAAAAAUAUCUCAAAAUGCUUCACAGACCCACAAGUUGCAUGUUUAUCACCUACUGCUGGGCUCAGCUACACCAGCACAAACCCCACACCACUGCAAUGAACUGGGACUGAACUAACCAGGAUUUACACUGACGAAGCUCAAUGCGUUAUUUAAACCCUUUUACACAAGGUUGCCAUGAGAUGCUCCCUCUCCCCACUAUAAUAGGCUGCACAUUAA